GUUAACGUAGCAAAACCUGGAAUUGCAAAAGACCUAAACCCUUUUCACAGAAGUUCAAAUCUUCUCAUUAACU
rnacentral:tRNA from 1 species